rnacentral:rRNA from 1 species
CAGCAGCCGCGGUAAUACGUAGGUGGCAAGCGUUGUCCGGAAUUAUUGGGCGUAAAGGGCUCGCAGGCGGUUUCUUAAGUCUGAUGUGAAAGCCCCCGGCUCAACCGGGGAGGGUCAUUGGAAACUGGGAAACUUGAGUGCAGAAGAGGAGAGUGGAAUUCCACGUGUAGCGGUGAAAUGCGUAGAGAUGUGGAGGAACACCAGUGGCGAAGGCGACUCUCUGGUCUGUAACUGACGCUGAGGAGCGAAAGCGUGGGGAGCGAACAGGAUUAGAUACCCGGGUAGUCCCUGUCUCUUAUAA